rnacentral:rRNA from 1 species
CUGCAGUCGAGCGAAUCGAUGGGAGCUUGCUCCCUGAGAUUAGCGGCGGACGGGUGAGUAACACGUGGGCAACCUGCCUAUAAGACUGGGAUAACUUCGGGAAACCGGAGCUAAUACCGGAUACGUUCUUUUCUCGCAUGAGAGAAGAUGGAAAGACGGUUUACGCUGUCACUUAUAGAUGGGCCCGCGGCGCAUUAGCUAGUUGGUGAGGUAAUGGCUCACCAAGGCGACGAUGCGUAGCCGACCUGAGAGGGUGAUCGGCCACACUGGGACUGAGACACGGCCCAGACUCCUACGGGAGGCAGCAGUAGGGAAUCUUCCGCAAUGGACGAAAGUCUGACGGAGCAACGCCGCGUGAACGAAGAAGGCCUUCGGGUCGUAAAGUUCUGUUGUUAGGGAAGAACAAGUACCAGAGUAACUGCUGGUACCUUGACGGUACCUAACCAGAAAGCCACGGCUAACUACGUGCCAGCAGCCGCGGUAAUACGUAGGUGGCAAGCGUUGUCCGGAAUUAUUGGGCGUAAAGCGCGCGCAGGUGGUUCCUUAAGUCUGAUGUGAAAGCCCACGGCUCAACCGUGGAGGGUCAUUGGAAACUGGGGAACUUGAGUGCAGAAGAGGAAAGUGGAAUUCCAAGUGUAGCGGUGAAAUGCGUAGAG